UCUGUCCUCGGUCAUGUUCUAUUCGAAAGAUUAUGAAUUCCUAUCGCCGUCGUCGUCUGUUUCGAAAGUGAUUGUUUUAUUUCGAACAGCGAGCCAAUACUAUGCGAAUGCGGUCCGGGUCAAUGGCAGUUCUUAAGUGAAUCUAAAGCGUUUUGUGUCCUACAUUUCUAUGUGAAUGAGAAUUUUACUCAACAAAAGUUAAAUAAAUAAUUUGUGAUAUUUUAUUGGAAAAUAAAAUUCGUUAUGAUUCAAAAAAGUGCAAGUGUGUCCUUAGCCAUUUCUUGAAAAAUUCCAACUGAAAAAUUAAAAAUACAGAAUUGAAGAAAAAAAAACAACGACAUUCCAAGCCAAAAUGAUGGAUUACAACAGUUUACUUGCUUACAACCAAACCGAUCUCAUCGGCUCUACCCCAACGAUCCCCAAUCGGACCCUGACGACCAACGACACAUCCCAGCAACAUCAGCAACAAUACCCCAAGAUAAUAGACGCGGUAGCCCAUUACCUUACAUUUUACUAUACGCCGAUAAUCGUUUUCGGAGGCAGCAUCGGAAAUAUCCUUUCGGUUUUUGUGUUUUUCAAAACUAAUCUGCGGAAGUUGUCAUCGAGUUUCUAUUUGGCAGCACUGGCUGUCAGUGAUACGUUAUAUUUGUUGGCGACAUUUGCAUCGUGGUUGGGUUAUGUGGAAGUGAAUGUUUAUAAUCGGGAUGUUCUGUGUCAGUUUUUUGUUUUUACCAGCAGCUUGUGUAGCUUUUGUUCGGUUUGGUAUGUUGUGGCCUUCACUGUUGAACGGUUUAUAGCUGUGAUGUAUCCGCUGAAGCGGCAAACUAUGUGCACCGUGAAACGGGCAAAGAUCGUACUGGCUGGGAUUACGUUGCUCGGAUGUUUGCAUUGUACGCCGUACCUCUUGAUUUCAGCACCGAAAUACAAUCCGGAGAGUCAUUCUAUGCAUUGCAGUAUUCGGGAUGAGUACAUGGACUUUGGAACAACUGUAAACUACGUAGAUACAGUUGUGGUAUUUGCUGUUCCCUUAUCAACCAUUGCGAUACUCAAUACGUUUACUGGAUGUACUGUCUGGAAAUUUGCUACAGUAAGACGAACAAUGACAUUACAAAAACGGAAAACUCAAAUAACACGAAGUCCUUUUUCAUCAACCUACCGGACAAGUACUGUGAAAAGGCAAAACUCAGUUAUGUCAAACUUUUCACAUCCCAAUGGUCACAAUAAUUGUGGUGGUUCACAUCGAGAAUCCAAAUCUAAACCAGGAAGACGACCGUUGACAAACUCAUCACAGCUAAAAGUCACAAAGAUGUUAUUAAUAGUUUCGACGGUUUUUGUAUUCUUGAAUCUGCCCAGCUACUUUUUUAGAGUGAAAAUGUUCCUAGAGAAAGAAGAAUCAGAGAUGUUAACCAAACAGCAAUAUAUUGCAAAUUCACUGUUUGUAACGAAUUUCGGAAUUAAUUUUGUUCUGUAUUGCGUCAGUGGGCAAAAUUUUAGAAAGGCGUUAAUAAGUCUAUUCCGCAGUGUAUCAUCAUCAAACAGAGAUGGAACUACUCAAGUAACGGCAUAAUUACUACAUCGUAUCUUCAUGAAGCAGCUACUAAAAUAAAUAUCAAGCUAUGUUGCAUAUUAUGUACCUUUGCAUAACAUAUACAUUAUGUAAUAUUUACCGACUGCUGAUUGAUAUUGGGGUUUCCAUUUAGUCAUACAUGAUAUAGAUAUCUAUAUUAAAUAACUUUCAGAAUAUUUUCGAAACAGUGGCAAUGGCAUGAUCUCAAGGAGACGACCUACUUCACAAAACGGCUGGGGUGAAAUGCAUGAAAUGGAAAAUAUUAUCCAUUAUAAAUAAAGAGGGGUGAAUAGUUAAUAAAAUAAAACAAAACCAAAAAAAAUAUGAUAAAGUUUUAUAAAUACUCGGAGAAGACAAAAAGUUGUUAUUAUGUAUUAUAGGUACCUCUGUACUAUAAUGUACUUAAAAUAUAAGUUAAAAGUUAUUCAAAAUAAUAAAAACUCAAUUUUAUUUAUGAUUUCCUUUUAUUUAUUAAGUUUUAUCGUUAUUAUAAAUUGAAUAUAAAGUAUGACACUUGAUGUAUAGCUAAGCUAUUGUUAUAUGAUUUAAAUAAAUGUAUUUACG